rnacentral:rRNA from 1 species
GAUGAACGCUGACGGCGUGCCUAAUACAUGCAAGUCGAGCGAACGGACGAGAAGCUUGCUUCUCUGAUGUUAGCGGCGGACGGGUGAGUAACACGUGGAUAACCUACCUAUAAGACUGGGAUAACUUCGGGAAACCGGAGCUAAUACCGGAUAAUAUUUUGAACCGCAUGGUUCAAAAGUGAAAGACGGUCUUGCUGUCACUUAUAGAUGGAUCCGCGCUGCAUUAGCUAGUUGGUAAGGUAACGGCUUACCAAGGCAACGAUGCAUAGCCGACCUGAGAGGGUGAUCGGCCACACUGGAACUGAGACACGGUCCAGACUCCUACGGGAGGCAGCAGUAGGGAAUCUUCCGCAAUGGGCGAAAGCCUGACGGAGCAACGCCGCGUGAGUGAUGAAGGUCUUCGGAUCGUAAAACUCUGUUAUUAGGGAAGAACAUAUGUGUAAGUAACUGUGCACACCUUGACGGUACCUAAUCAGAAAGCCACGGCUAACUACGUG